rnacentral:rRNA from 1 species
UACGUAGGGUGCGAGCGUUGUCCGGAAUUAUUGGGCGUAAAGAGCUUGUAGGCGGUUUGUCGCGUCUGCUGUGAAAUCUCAAGGCUCAACCUUGAGCUUGCAGUGGGUACGGGCAGACUAGAGUGUGGUAGGGGAGACUGGAAGUUCCUGGUGUAGCGGUGAAAUGCGCAGAUAUCAGGAGGAACACCGGUGGCGAAGGCGGGUCUCUGGGCCGAUAUUGACGCUGAGGAGCGAAAGCGUGGGGAGCGAACAGG